CUUUGCAUUAAGUGUGAAUAUUGCUGAGAUAAUAAGGGGGCUAAAAGUAGGUUAGCAAAUUGUUGAUGUCUUUUUAUCUUCUCUUUCUACAGUUGGUGCAUCAUCAUCAUCAUUUUUGUGUUUCUGCUGUAUAUCUCAGGUGAGAUUUUAAAUAUUUUAAAUGAAACUUGUCACAUGCAGAAAGAUGAACGGUGUGUGUUUGCUGUUUUUAGGUGUUUUCUCUGAUCCUGUGAGGGUCACAGUUAAAGGUUUUGUUGGAGACUCAGCUAUCUUGUCUUGUUCGAUCCCUGAAAGUGAGAUUCAAGGCAAAACAGAAGAAUUCUGUGUGCACUUGAGAGACGAUGAAGGCAAGAUUGUGUGUGACGUCAUUAGAGGUAGCAUAGCUGAAGAUCAAGAUCCAAAGUACAAGGACAGAGUCGAAACGUUCCCAGAGGAGUACAAGAAGGGCAACUUCACCUUUAAACUCAACGGUCUUCAAAAAACAGAUGCAAGGAAGUACCACUGUCACAUCACAGGACCAUCUCAGAAUCACACCAUCACAGAGCUUCAUGUUGAAGAUAGACCAGGAGGAAGAGGCAACCACGGAAGACUAAAUGGAGAACUAUUAUCGAUUGUCUAUUUUUUAGUCAGAUUUUUCUUAGCUGGCAUUUUUAUGUUUGUAGCAGUCACUUUUUGUGUAGCAAGGAUGGUAUUCAGGUACUAGUGUAUUGGGGGGUCCCUGGUCCCUGAUAAUUGCACCACCUUUCACCACGUCAGCAACAGCCCUGGUUGUAGUUGGCCUCAGAUUGUUUGUUUUCUUCUGUUACUGACAAUCAGUCAGACACAGUGUCGGAAGUAUUUUUACUCCGUUACAGUACUUCAGUACAUUUUUCAAACUGAAAAAAACAACAACAACAAAAAACAACAACAACAACAACAACAAAACACCAUAAUUCUUUGAUGUUUUAACUUGAACAUUUCAGACAUGAAGAACCCAAGCACAGUAUAAUAUUAGGAAACUUGACUUUACUAGAUGAUUAAAAUGGUCAGGAAAUAUUAAUCAUCACAUACAAUGACAAAUUAAACAUAAUAGCUGCAUAUACACAAGUUAACUACAAGAGACUUUUAACAUACAUGAACAUCAAAAUAAAAUUAUCUAAAAUCAUGAAAACUUAACAAAUUGUUACAACAAUUGUCCUUGAAUCCAUUUUAGGAAAAAAACAACAACUAUUUUUCACAAUCCCUAUCCAAACAACAUUUGUGAAAACUAAAUCUAAAUUGACUAAAUCAACCCAGUGUACUCACUGUAAUUAGUCCAUCCAUUUCCUCCAGUUUGACCCAUUCAUUUCAUCACAAUUUUCAGACAAAUAAGUGUUAAAUAAGGGUGAUAUACUGCCACCCUUCACAAGGCUUUACACAAUAUGUGUGUGUGUGUGUGUGUGUGUGUGUGUGUAUAUAUAUAUAUUUGUCUCCUGUAUUAAUUAAUUUAUUUGUACAACUGUAAACUUAACUUUCAGUUAAAAACUUGUGUGACCACUGUUCACAAAGCACUUGAAUUAAAUUAAUUAAUUUCAAUUAUGCCAAUCAUGGCCCAAUUUUGCAUUCAGUGUUUGUAAUUGGAUGUCAGUAUGUUUGCUGUUAGCACUGUAAUGUCAACCAUGUUAAUAAAAAGCUAAAUAUA